rnacentral:rRNA from 1 species
CAUCCGAGGCCCCAUAAUCGGAAUGAGUACACUUUAAAUCCUUUAACGAGGAUCCAUUAGAGGGCAAGUCUGGUGCCAGCAGCCGCGGUAAUUCCAGCUCUAAUAGCGUAUAU